GGAUCAAUAUGCUGGUCGUGCCUUUGGAACGCACUGGUAUUAUCGGUUUCUCCUUUCUGAAGAAUCACGAUGUCAUUAAUUUGGUGUCGUGAGGAAUCAGGACUGUUACUUUGAAAAAAUUAGAGUGUUUAAAGCAGGCUUACGCUUGAAUACAUUAGCAUGGAAUAACGGAAUAGGACGUUUGAUUCUAUUUUGUUGGUUUCUAGGAUCGACGUA
rnacentral:rRNA from 1 species